AGUCAAUAGAUACCCAGGUAGUCCACGCCGUAAACGAUGAGUACUAGGUGUAGGAGGUAUCGACUCCUUCUGUGCCGCAGUUAACACAAUAAGUACUCCGCCUGGGAAGUACGGUCGCAAGAUUAAAACUCAAAGGAAUUGACGGGGGCCCGCACAAGCAGCGGAGCAUGUGGUUUAAUUCGAAGCAACGCGAAGAACCUUACCUAGACUUGACAUCUCCUGAAUAGCGCAGAGAUGCGUGAAGCCCUUCGGGGCAGGAAGACAGGUGGUGCAUGGUUGUCGUCAGCUCGUGUCGUGAGAUGUUGGGUUAAGUCCCGCAACAAGCGCAACCCCUAUUAUUAGUUGCUACCAUUAAGUUGAGCACUCUAAUGAGACUGCCCGGGUUAACCGGGAGGAAGGCGGGGAUGACGUCAAAUCAUCAUGCCCCUUAUGUCUAGGGCUACACACGUGCUACAAUGGUGAGAACAACGAGAUGCAAUACCGCGAGGUGGAGCAAAACUUGAAAACUCAUCUCAGUUCGGAUUGUA
rnacentral:rRNA from 1 species